rnacentral:rRNA from 1 species
UGGGGAAUAUUGGACAAUGGGCGCAAGCCUGAUCCAGCCAUGCCGCGUGAGUGAUGAAGGCCCUAGGGUUGUAAAGCUCUUUUUGUGCGGGAAGAUAAUGACGGUACCGCAAGAAUAAGCCCCGGCUAACUUCGUGCCAGCAGCCGCGGUAAUACGAAGGGGGCUAGCGUUGCUCGGAAUCACUGGGCGUAAAGGGUGCGUAGGCGGGUCUUUAAGUCAGGGGUGAAAUCCUGGAGCUCAACUCCAGAACUGCCUUUGAUACUGAAGAUCUUGAGUUCGGGAGAGGUGAGUGGAACUGCGAGUGUAGAGGUGAAAUUCGUAGAUAUUCGCAAGAACACCAGUGGCGAAGGCGGCUCACUGGCCCGAUACUGACGCUGAGGCACGAAAGCGUGGGGAGCAAACAGGAUUAGAUACCCUUGUAGUCCCUGAGCGGGCUGGCAAGGCGCAU